UACGUAGGUGGCAAGCGUUGUCCGGAAUUAUUGGGCGUAAAGCGCGCGCAGGCGGUCCUUUAAGUCUGAUGUGAAAGCCCACGGCUCAACCGUGGAGGGUCAUUGGAAACUGGGGGACUUGAGUACAGAAGAGGAAAGCGGAAUUCCACGUGUAGUGGUGAAAUGCGUAGAGAUGUGGAGGAACACCAGUGGCGAAGGCGGCUUUCUGGUCUGUAACUGACGCUGAGGCGCGAAAGCGUGGGGAGCAAACAGG
rnacentral:rRNA from 1 species